rnacentral:misc_RNA from 1 species
UUCUAUUUUGUGAGAUAUCGCGAGACAAGGAAGGUGAUAAGCCAGGGGAUACUCAAUCGAGAAAGAAAAUUUUACAAAUGGGAGAUUAAUCUAUAGAGGACGCAGAAAGGAGAAACGUUAACUGCAAAACUGGACUUGAUAGAUAUUUUGAUAUUUACAGGCUAAACUCUAUGUGCGUUUGAUGUCUUAGGCUUCGAUCUGUGACAAUCACACGUAUAUAACAUUGGAAAGGACACAUCUAUCUACCAAAAUACGAUUAUGAGAAAUAGAAAACGUGCAUUGUAUCAAGACCUUUUCCCGUUUUUACCAGAACAGUUUGUCAGUUGCACUGUUGAUGGGUCCGUUGAUAUUGAUUUCCCAACAGAUGCUGAGCUAGAAGAGGCUUACCAGUUGAUCAAUGAUGCGAUUGAUGAAGAAAUUGGCUUUGGCGCUGAUGAAUACCCAACACUAGAGUAUUUCGUGGACGUGAUGCGUCACGAUUCAAUAUUACCGUUUGUGUUAAAGGAACGAUCAUCCAAGAAAGUUGUUGGAUUCUUCUUUACAGCCCCUACUAGGUUUCACAGGGGAGUAAACCCUAUAUAUUGUGAUAUGAAUAUUGUAUUGCAUCCAUCAUACAGGACGUUUGGGUACUUGAAUGAUUUCCUGAACUCUGUUGUAUGGAGGUAUGCUGAGACAUUGGGUUAUGAGGGGUUCAUUGGAGAGCACCUUACUAACGAUUGGAAGGGCCUGAAGAGUUUGGUCAAACGACAGGGCUAUGAGUUAUUAGGGAGACUGCCUUGUGUGACCAAGUUGAAGCACUCUGGCUACGUUGAUAGUUUUAUUGUCAUGAAAAGGUUUAACAAAGAUGCACAGUUGUGUUCGCAAACAGAGAUCCGACCAAAGCUCGUGGUUCCAACUCCAGAUAUAACUAAAAUCAAAGUGAACAGUCAACCAAAGAAGGCAACAAAACGGAGAUGUACCCUUUUAGAUGGACGUGAAAUAGUUGUCGAUUAUGCGAAAGAAGACGAACUGAAAACAAUAUACGAUUUCUUUGUAAAAGCUCAAAAAGAGGGAGAUGGGUACGCCGUUGAUGAGUAUCCAACGUACAAUCAUUUCGUUUUUAAGUUCAGGAAAAGCCACGUGUUCACUAUGAAGGUAGCUGAUGGGAGAAUUGUCGGGAUGAUGUCUGUUAUCCCAAGCCGAUUCAGUAGAAGUGCCGAACCAACGAUCGCCGCCGGACCAAUGUACGUAACCCAUGAAAUCAGGGGAAAGGGCGAUUUCCCAAAGUUUUUAUUGAUUCAAGCUCUUCUUGGAAUAGAAUGUGGUUACACUGGUUCAGUUGGAGAUACAUUUGUGACAAAUAAAAGGGUGGUUCGGACAUCAGGAGGCAAUGACGGUUCCAACAUCAUAGCCACAAUUCCAAGAUCAGCGUAUGCUGCUGGACAAGGCUGGGUGGAUUCGCAUGUCAUGGGUGGUAAAUUCUUAGAUUUUGGAUUUGCUGCAGAUGUAGAGAAUUUAGCUGCGAAUAUGCCAAUUUCUAAACUUUGAACUGUCAUGGUCAGGACAACAUAAACCUUAAACAUAAAUCUUUUUCGUGAGUUCUAUGCUGGCAAUGUUGUCAAUCAAUCGGACAAAUGUAUGAUGUUGCUUUAUUACCUUAAGUACACAUCAUAUGUUUGUCUGAUCAUAAGCUCGAAUAGUUGUGUUUCAAAUAUUAAU